rnacentral:rRNA from 1 species
UCUUCCUACCAUGAUCUCGAAGUCCCCGCCAGAUCUCAUCUGAUCUCAGAAGCUAAGCAGGGUCGGGCCUGGUUAGUACUUGGAUGGGAGGGGAGCACUUUUAGAGGAAAAU